ACAUCACUAGCUGUGCUUUUCAUUCUGUAGGCAAAGUUGGUCGCUUGAGUGGUUUGAAGACUCUUUGUCUGCAUGAUGUUGGUAUUACUGGGGAGGAGUUAUAUCUACUUCUGUCCAAUUCCUUCUUGUUAGAGCAUUUGGAUCUCGAGUCCUGCUACGAUAUACAUUGCUUAAAGAUACCACAUUUUUUGUCGAAGCUUAACAUCCUGGAAGUGCAAUGUUGCAAAAUGUUACAGAUGAUUGAAUGCAGUGCUCCAAACCUCUCCACCUUCAAUUAUGAUGGUCCCCUGAUACAUAUCUCGCUUGGAAGUUCAUUGCAAGUGAAGAAAAUGCAAAUGACAUGUGCCAUUAUGCCUAACCUGCUCCAUUAUGCUAGCGCCAAGCUUUCAUCCAUUGCACCAAAUGUCCAAACUCUUUUUUUUACACUCACUUUAUGAGACAGUCAAUACACCUAUGGUGCUGGGUAAAUUUCUGCACCUCAAGUAUUUGGAGAUAAAACUUUUCAUGCCAACUCGUUCUCCAGGUUACGACUUCUGUUCUUUGGUUUCUUUUCUUGAUGCUUCUCCCACCUUGAGGACUUUCGUCUUGUGUGUAGAGGCUCCUACCAUGGAAGGUGGUUUGAUUCCUGGAGUCAAUAUGUGCGAAGAUUUCUCAUUGGCAAGUUCUGUUCCGAAACACCGACAUCGCAAGCUUAAGAGUGUUAUCAUCACUGGCUUUUGCCCUUGGAAGACAAUGAUUGAGCUAACGAGAUGUAUUCUUGAUUAUGCAACGUCACUAAAGCACCUUACCCUGGACACUACUCUUGGAUAUCGUAGGAGGAGGUUGGGCAACUGUUUCCCUUUGGGUAGGGAUACAAUUAUGGAAGCCUGAAAGGCUAUUGCGGCUAUCAGGACAUACAUUGAGGGGAAAGUACCUUCAAAGAUCACGUUUAAGGUUCUUGAGCCCUGCAACUGCAAUAAGUGUCAAGAAUGUUGAGUUAUGUUAUCGUAAUAUGGUUAUGUUAUGAGUAUAGCUUAGAGCCCCUAAAAAAGUGUAAUCUAUUCAAUGACAUCUCUACUACUUCCUCCGAUCCAUAUUACUUGUUUUAGAUUUGUCUAGAUACGGAUGUAUCAUGACACGUCGGAGGGAGUAUUAAAUUGGAGUUGGUCCUUGCAUGUUUGCCUCCACCCCCUCCGGUA